rnacentral:lncRNA from 1 species
CAUAAUGGAAGGUCAAGAAAUGGAGGAGUGGAGAGUCAACGAGAUUAUAACGGCAGUCGACAAGUAACGACGGAGGAGAAGGUGACACGUGGAGAAAUCAAGAGGUAGUCGGAGUUUAGUGAAUGGAUUCAAGCGUUUGGGAAAGCUUUGGUUGAACAAGAACGAAGACAGAAAAAUAAAAAAGCGACGAGAGAAACUAUGACAAAGGACAAAAUUUGAUGAUUUGUUCACAAGCAACAAACAGCAACACAACAGCACAGCGUCGUUGUUGUUCGCAUUGGCAGCGCCGUCCAGUUUGAAUAAAAUAAAGUAAUAAACGUGUUGAGAUGCAAACACAUACUCAGUCGAGCGCAUACUGAGUCACACUCAAUGCCUGCAUGAAGAAAGAUCAGUUUUUGCGUCGCUCACAGACUCGUUACACAAACGGCUGAAACAAGACGUGAUUAUUGACAUCCUACAAACAUUAGAGUACACGAGGGCAGCUAACUAUUCACUAAGCACAGGAGAUAGAUACAAACAUAUAGCUUGGGAACAAGUUAGACUCACGAGUCAGAGUCACGAUUAGGGGUGUUGUUAACUCAGAAAGACUCUCGUCAACGUUUCCGCUUUCUCUUGCUGCCUUGGCUUGUCUUGGUUCCCGGGGGACAUGAAUCCAGUUUGGUCUUUAUAACAGAGCUCCACAAGGCCCUUUCCACAUCUGAAGGUGUGAACAAAUCAUCAUCUGUACUUAACUCCUGUAACAUACCCAUAUGGAGUGUCAAUCACUGUGGAAACUGGCAAUAGGCAUACUCGCCACACAAAACCAUGAUCUCAGAAGUGCAAACAUCAACCCAUAAAACUAGAUUCCAAGUCACUGACUUGCAUACAUGAAUAAAUCAGCUAAAAAGAUUUCAUAAGUUCGUAUGAAUAUCCUGAGGCAUGGCUAUCCACGGCAUAACUUCACAAGUACAGCAGAAGAAUAGGGAGGCAUAGGAAUCCAAUCCUAGUACACUACUCACUAUCUCGCGAAAAAGAUCCAACUUAGAUUACCGGAAUCUGAAGGAAC